GACGAACGCUGGCGGCGUGCUUAACACAUGCAAGUCGAACGGAAAGGCCUGCUUUCCCUUGUGGAUUGCGGGUACUCGAGUGGCGAACGGGUGAGUAACACGUGAGUGAUCUGCCCCCAACUUGGGUAUAAGCCUGGGAAACUGGGUCUAAUUCCCGAUAGGACUGCAGGGUGGUGCCUGUGGUGGAAAACGAUUUUCUAGUGGUUGGGGAUGAGCUCGCGGCCUAUCAGCUUGUUGGUGGGGUAAUGGCCUACCAAGGCGGCGACGGGUAGCCGGCCUGAGAGGGUGCACGGCCACAUUGGGACUGAGAUACGGCCCAGACUCCUACGGGAGGCAGCAGUGGGGAAUAUUGCACAAUGGGCGGAAGCCUGAUGCAGCGACGCCGCGUGGGGGAUGACGGCCUUCGGGUUGUAAACUCCUUUCGACCGCGAGGAAGCCACCUGGUUGGAAGGGUGGUGACGGUAGUGGUAGAAGAAGCACCGGCUAACUACGUG
rnacentral:rRNA from 1 species